AAGGGCAAAGGCGUUCUGCUGUUGCACGACAUCCAGGCGCGGACGCAGGCCGCUUUGCCUGUGAUCCUUCGCGAACUGAAGGCGCGCGGCUAUCGCAUCGUCCACGUUGUUCCGGCAACGCCGGAACGGCCCAAGACCGUCACCGUUCCCGCGCAAUGGGUUCCGUACUGGAUUCACGGCCCCAAUAUCGCGGCGAAGACUCCGAGCGGCUUUGUGUUCGGAGUGGCAGAAACACCGCUCCAUGAUGCUCCGCGGUCGGUGCG
rnacentral:misc_RNA from 1 species